GUGGGGGGUAUUGCACAAUGGGCGGAAGCCUGAUGCAGCGACGUCGCGUGAGGGAUGGAGGCCUUCGGGUUGUGAACCUCUUUCUCCGGUGGUGAAGGCCCUGUCCGUUGCGGCGGGGUUGACGGUAGCCGGGUAUGAAGCGCCGGCUAACUACGUGCCAGCAGCCGCGGUGAUACGUAGGGCGCGAGCGUUGUCCGGAAUUAUUGGGCGUGAAGGGCUUGUAGGCGGCCGGUCGCGUCCGCCGUGAAAUUCUCCGGCUCAACCGGGGGCUUGCGGUGGGUACGGGCCGGCUGGAGUGCGGUAGGGGAGGCUGGAACUCCUGGUGUAGCGGUGGAAUGCGCAGAUAUCAGGAGGAACACCGGUGGCGAAGGCGGGUCUCUGGGCCGUUACUGACGCUGAGGAGCGAAAGCGUGGGGAGCGAACAGGAUUAGAAACCCGGGUAGUCC
rnacentral:rRNA from 1 species